rnacentral:rRNA from 1 species
ACCUCGGGAAUUGAGGAUAAUGCCCCAUAGAUCAUGGAAUCUGGAAUGAUCCAUGGUUGAAAGUUCCGGCGCUUAAGGAUCGCUCUGCGGCCUAUCAGGUAGUAGUGGGUGUAACGUACCCCCUAGCCAGUGACGGGUAUGGGCCUUGAGAGAGGGAGCCCAGAGUUGGAUUCUGAGACACGAAUCCAGGCCCUACGGGGCGCAGCAGUCGCGAAAACUUCACACUGGGGGCAACCCCGAUGAGGGAAUUCCUAGUGCUAGGACAUUUGUUCUAGCUUUUCUUCAGCGUAGAUAACUGAAGGAAUAAGGGCUGGGUAAGACGGGUGCCAGCCGCCGCGGUAAUACCUGCAGCCCAAGUGGUGGUCGAUUUUAUUGAGUCUAAAACGUUCGUAGCCGGUUUGAUAAAUCCUUGGGUAAAUCGGGAAGCUUAACUUUCCGACUUCCGAGGAGACUGUCAAACUUGGGACCGGGAGAGGCUAGAGGUACUUCUGGGGUAGGGGUAAAAUCCUGUAAUCCUAGAAGGACCACCGGUGGCGAAGGCGUCUAGCUAGAACGGAUCCGACGGUGAGGGACGAAGCCCUGGGUCGCAAACGGGAUUAGAUACCCCGGUAGUCCAGGGUGUAAACGCUGCAGACUUGGUGUUGGAGGCCCUUCGGGGGCAUUCAGUGCCGGAGAGAAGUUGUUAAGUCUGCUACUUGGGGAGUACGUCCGCAAGGAUGAAACUUAAAGGAAUUGGCGGGGGAGCAC